rnacentral:rRNA from 1 species
ACAAGUACCGUGAGGGAAAGUUGCAAAGCACUUUGAAGAGAGAGUUAAACAGGACGUGAAACCGAUGAGGUGGAAACGGACAGAGCCAGCGUAUCUGGCCUGUAUUCAACCAAAGACCUACAAGUAUUGGGUAGUACUUCUCCAGACUGGACAGGCUAUCUGAAUGCUUGGAGGCCAGAGGUGCAUUUGCAGGUGGAGUGCGCCGAGGCGGUCAGGGUAGCGUCGCGAACUCGACUUCGAGGCCAGCCCUUCGGGGUCUGGAACCCAGGUUGGGGGAGUGCUGUUUGUCCUGGCUGUGGCACAUGGGAAUGGUUUCGUGUUUGGCUGUCAGUAGGCUGGCAAUCGGUGUCGGUCGCAUGCGACACGUGCUGGUGGUUGGUCUGGUGCUGGUCAAGCUCCCAUCUUCCAAACCUCGGUGUAAAAGCCGGUUAUCUGUCCGACCCGUCUUGAAACACGGACCAAGGAGUUUAGCGUGUGCGCGAGUCAUUGAGUGUUGAAAAUUCAAAGGCGCAAUGAAAGUGAAGGUCUCCCUUGUGGAGCUGAUGUGUGAUCCAGGUCAUCAAGGUGGCAAGGAGCAACAUAGUCCCGUCCCGAUCGCAUGCGGUGGGGCGGAGACUGAGCGUGCGCGCUGAG